UAAAAAAUGAAGUGUGAACAGGGGUAGCCAUGCCCGGCUGUCGCAGAUCAUAUUCAUAGAUACAUCAAAUCGGCAAAGAAAUGGCGCGGAGUUUUGAGUUUUGACCCACAAAUUCUGGUUUGUUGCCUGGGCUAGGGAUACGAUCGACGACUGAGAGAUUCAGUAAUUGAUUUUGAAGGGGCGAUUCGGAGUUUGGAUUCACACAUUUUCUUCUUUCCCUAUGUGCUUUUGAUAGAUCGAAUUUACAAUUAGUGGGCGGAGUUCAGUAGAAAUUCGCGACUAAUCGGUUUGAGAUAUUCUCCAGCAAUGUUCUCAAAUAUUGCCAUUUGUAGACACGAGGAAUGAUCGAAUUGAUUGAUGAUUCUCGUUCUGAAACAAUUGUUAAAAUGUUGGAGACCAGCUCAUGAUGAGGAGGCAGCUCUUUUGUUUUAUCUGCUGCUAUUUGGAAGGCUAAAACUCCUCAAAAAAUAAAAAAUUCUUGCGGUCUCCUACUCAUGGUAAACUUAGACUGAGUUGAGAAAAAAUAGCAGAUGAUAUCUCUCUGUCUCCUACUCCCUGGUGAUGUAAUGUACCUCUGUCAUAAUUCAUAAAGAUUAUGAAAGCCAUGUCCUUAAUCUUCACUUCUGAGUUCUCCUCCAAGAUCCGAUUGAGCCUGUCGUGUGUAGACAUUCAAACCUUCAAUUUUUAGGGUCGUAAGUAAUGUCUUGACCAGUUGAAGUUGAAAUUUAAGUCGAUGCAACUUUUAGUCCAAUACCAUUUUCUUAUCCUAACUUCUAGUCUCACACCAUUUUGUUGUUCUUAGGCUAGAAUCAAGAAAACCCUGAAAGGAACUGGACAAAUUUUCUGCUUAGCCUCUAGAUGGAAGAGUACUUUAACUAGCCAUUCCUCCAGUUUUAUUAAUGGCAAGUUGGGUGCUUCUUUUCUAAUCUAUUUGACUUUUGUCAAUAGAAAGAUUCUGUUUAUGUAUAUCUUUUGCCAAAAUGUUUCUCAUUUGUGAAAGAGAGAGACACUGUUUAUGUACUGUGCAGCUGAGUGUGGAGGAUCAAGCAUCACGUUCAGGGUAUGGCUGAAGCCAGCUUUUUGUAACGUGCUCUGAUCUGACUUCUGAAUCUCUGAUCAAAGAUUUUCGAAUUGCAGCAUCUGGAAGUACUUUCAACUGCAUUAUGGUUAUCAAUCAUUUGUUGAAUAGUGAGCUCGUGAUGGGAAAUUUCCUUUUGGAUGUCUGAGAGAGAGGAUAAACAAUUUGAGGAAUUUGAUCCUUCUGUUUUUGCUGCAUA